CUCCAUGUUUUUCUUUCAGUCUAUGAAUGAAUAUAACGUCGCCCGGUUGGAAUAUUAUCGCUAUUUUACGAGGAAAAUAGCAUAAAAAUUGAUUUUAAACAGCGUUUGACAUGCUUCGAAGUACGGUAAUGGAAUAUUUUGAAAUUUUUUAUCACGAAUUGCGCCCGCGCGUCACCCUUCGGAUACUGACCUGAACGCACGAACAAAACGGAGCUAUUUGGAUAUAACUAUGGAUUAUUUCGAACCAAAACAACAUUUGUUGUUGAAGUCCUGGGAGUGCAUUCUGACGAAGAACAGCAAAGGCAAGGAAAGCAGAGUGUAAAUGUUUCCUUUGAACAGUGGGUCCUCCUGAUGGAUCUCAUAGCGGAUGUCGAUCUGGAUGCUUUCAGUGAUCCCCAGAGAAGGAGUCUAAAGAGAAGAAGAGAAGAGGGCAAGCUUCAUCCUCCAUCUCUGUGAAAUGGUCAAUGACCUUCAUUUACUUUGGAAGCC
rnacentral:lncRNA from 1 species